AGAGUGUUGAGGCUUUUGGCUAAGAUCAAGUGUAGUAUCUGUUCUUAUCAGUUUAAUAUCUGAUACGUCCCCUACCCGGGGACCAUAUAUUAAAUUGAUUUUUAGAGCAGGGAGAUGAAAUAGGGGCUUGCUCCGUCCACUCCACUCAUUGACCCAGUAUUGCAGUACUUCUGGGAACGGUGCACCCCCU
rnacentral:snRNA from 1 species